AUAUCUCUCUGUACGGGAAGGAUGAGAAGCUUCUACCAGGGUUCGAUUCGAGCGCAGCGAGAAAGCGUUGCCGCAGGCAACGACCCG
rnacentral:sRNA from 1 species